rnacentral:misc_RNA from 1 species
CCGAGUUUACAACUCCCAAACCCAUGUGAAACAUACCUUACUGUUGCUUCGGCGGGAUUGCCCCGGGCGCCUCGUGUGCCCCGGAUCAGGCGCCCGCCUAGGAAACUUAACUCUUGUUUUUAUUUUGGAAUCUUCUGAGUAGUUUUUUACAAAUAAAUAA